CGAAAUCUUUGGAUUACUCCCCUUUUCGUGAAGAGCUAAUGUCUAAAGGUGCACUUUAACAAAAAAAAUGGGAAGGUAUAGAAACCGUAAUCGGCAAAGAUAAUAUCUGGUUAAGGAGAAAGAAUCAAUACUGAAUUUAAGGGGUAAAUCUCCUUAAAUAGAAAAGAAAGGCUAUUAAUAUCAUAAAGUUUAAGGUGGAAAGUGCCUAAAAUUAAAAAGUUUUACAACCUUACUGAAUUAAUUUAAGCAACUUUUAUUAAGUACUCCAAAAGCUAUAAUCAUAUCAAAUAAUGAUAAAAUCAGUAAUAAACCCAACCCUAAUCAACUCGAUAUUUUUACAACUGUUUAUCAAAAACAUUUCCUUUAGAAAAUAUUUAAAGGUAAAACCUGCCCAAUGCUUAAGUUAAUGGCUGCGGUAUCCUAACUGCACUAAGGUAGCAUAAUUACUUGUCUUUUAAAUGGUGACUUGUUUGAAUGGUUUAAUGAGAAAAAGAUCUUUUUAGGGCUGUAAUGAAUUUAUAUUCUAAGGUCAAAAUACCUAGGAGAUAAAGUAAGAAGAGAAGACCCCGUUGAGUUUAACGGAAUAUCAACCGUUUAAAUGGGAAAUUUAGUUUUAUUAUAAAACUUUUCUGAUCCUGGGGAUUAAACCCCCGAAAUAGGAUAAAAUUACCACGGGGAUAACAGGACAAGAUCAAUUAAGAGUUCUUAUCGAAAUUGAUGAUUGUUACCUCGAUGUUGAAUCGAAAUAGCUAAUAGAUGCAGCCGUCUAAAAAGUAGGUCUGUUC
rnacentral:rRNA from 1 species